UAGGGAAUCUUCCGCAAUGGACGCAAGUCUGACGGAGCAACGCCGCGUGAGUGAUGAAGGUUUUCGGAUCGUAAAGCUCUGUUGCCCUAGACGAACAGCAUGAGGAGUAACUGCCUUGUGUGUGACGGUAUAGGAGAAGAAAGCCCCGGCUAACUACGUGCCAGCAGCCGCGGUAAUACGUAGGGGGCAAGCGUUGUCCGGAAUUAUUGGGCGUAAAGCGCGCGCAGGCGGUCAAUUAAGUUGGGUGUUUAAGCCCGGGGCUCAA
rnacentral:rRNA from 2 species